CACAUUAAGUAACUUAACUGGAAGGUAAUUCCUGACAGAUUUCAGCAUUGCUGACGAACAGAACUUACAUUCUCGUGUCUAACCUGGCUGGGAGUGUGACUGCUUUUAAAAGAGACAUUGUUUUAUUUGUUAGAUCUUUGUAGAUUUUUUACAUUUUUAUGUCAAUCUGACCUGGAAUCUUGCUGUUUCUGCACAAGAAAACUCCAGCAACUUCACAACUGUGUUCUGGUCGACUUGGCCCUGGUUGGACUGAUGAUGGAUUCACCUUCGCACCUACUAAACGACCUGCACUGUCCAGGAAUUCAUGGCUACAAUUACAGCAGCAGGAGAAAGAGCACACCCAGAAAGCUGAGUGGGACAAGAGACGCGUACGCCUUGGACAAUGUGGCACUUUCAUCAAUUGGAUCUUUCUCAGCACUAUUGGCAUGUGUGAAGAUGUGACCUUAGUUUCAGCUAGCAAGACAGAAGUGCCCUCCAUCUGUUAAACAGGCACAUAAUUUUGAUUGUUGGACAUUUUCCUUUGUUAACUUCUCUUGGAUUUUGAAUAAUCUUUGACACGGACUGAAUGGAAUACAGGCACAGCUGAACUACUCGACCAGUGAUCAACAGCUGCAGGAACAAACUAAUGAACUUUUUUGGCUCUCUUGUCUAAAGGAUGUUGUGAAGCAUUUGUAAAGUUAAAAUCACUGCAAAUAAUAGUUACAUCUUGUACACGUGUACGUGGAUGCUCACUUUGACUCCCCGCUACCAUGCAAGGCACAGAUAAACUCACAGUAUCUGAGCUAUUUAGCAUCACUGAAUCUACAAAAAAUCCUCAACCUCCAUAUCUAACCACAAAAAUCCAUUUUCAUACAUCAGUAGGAUCUUGCAGUAUUUUGUACUGUAUGAGCAACUCUAUACAAUAUCAAACUAUUUUUGUAACCUGUGGCUGUUGCCGUGAAUUCAAAGCAUUGUAUGUAUCAGAAAGGCACAGAUAAAUAAAUGCAUGUAUGAAAA